rnacentral:rRNA from 1 species
CCUACGGGAGGCAGCAGUGAGGAAUAUUGGUCAAUGGACGAGAGUCUGAACCAGCCAAGUAGCGUGAAGGAUGACUGCCCUAUGGGUUGUAAACUUCUUUUAUAAAGGAAUAAAACGAGGCACGUGUGCCUUUUUGCAUGUACUUUAUGAAUAAGGAUCGGCUAACUCCGUGCCAGCAGCCGCGGUAAUACGGAGGAUCCGAGCGUUAUCCGGAUUUCUUGGGUUUAAAGGGAGCGUAGAUGGGUUGUUAAGUCAGUUGUGAAAGUUUGCGGCUCAACCGUAAAAUUGCAAUUGAUACUGGCAGUCUUGAGUACAGUUGAGGUAAGCGGAAUGCGUGGUGUAGCGGUGAAAUGCUUAGAUAUCACGAAGAACCCCGAUUGCGAAGGCAGCUUACUAAACUGUGACUGACAUUGAUGCUCGAAAGUGUGGGUAUCAAACAGGAUUAGAUACCCCUGUAGUC